rnacentral:rRNA from 1 species
AGGGAAUCUUCCACAAUGGACGCAAGUCUGAUGGAGCAACGCCGCGUGAGUGAAGAAGGUUUUCGGACCGUAAAGCUCUGUUGUUGGUGAAGAAGGAUAGAGGUAGUAACUGGCCUUUAUUUGACGGUAAUCAACCAGAAAGUCACGGCUAACUACGUGCCAGCAGCCGCGGUAAUACGUAGGUGGCAAGCGUUGUCCGGAUUUAUUGGGCGUAAAGCGAGCGCAGGCGGAAGAAUAAGUCUGAUGUGAAAGCCCUCGGCUUAACCGAGGAAUUGCAUCGGAAACUGUUUUCUUGAGUGCAGAAGAGGAGAGUAGAACUCCAUGUGUAGCGGUGGAAUGCGUAGAUAUAUGGAAGAAUACCAGUGGCGAAGGCGGCUCUCUGGUCUGCAACUGACGCUGAGGCUCGAAAGCAUGGGUAGCGAACAGGAUUAGAUACCCUGGUAGUCCAUGCCGUAAACGAUGAGUGCUAAGUG